UACAGACGGCGCAAGCGUUAUCCGGAAUGAUUGGGCGUAAAGCGUCUGUAGGUGGUUCGCGAAGUCUACUGUCAAAUCCCAGGGCUCAACCCUGGACAGGCGGUGGAAACUACCAAGCUGGAGUACGGUAGGGAGAGGAAGGAUUUCCCGGUGGAGCGGUGAAAUGCGUAGAGAUCGGAAAGAACACCAACGGCGAAAGCACUCUGCUGGGCCGACACUGACACUGAGAGACGAAAGCUAGGGGAGCGAAUGGG
rnacentral:rRNA from 1 species